AUUGAACGCUGGCGGCAUGCCUUACACAUGCAAGUCGAACGGUAACGGGCCUUCGGGUGCCGACGAGUGGCGAACGGGUGAGUAAUACAUCGGAACGUGCCCGAUCGUGGGGGAUAACGAGGCGAAAGCUUUGCUAAUACCGCAUACGAUCUACGGAUGAAAGCAGGGGACCGCAAGGCCUUGCGCGGACGGAGCGGCCGAUGGCAGAUGAGGUAGUUGGUGGGAUAAAAGCUUACCAAGCCGACGAUCUGUAGCUGGUCUGAGAGGAUGAUCAGCCACAGUGGGACGGAGACGCGGCCCAGCCUCCUACGGGAGGCAGCAGUGGGAAUUUUGGGACAAGGGGCGCAAGCUUGACCCAGCCAGGCCGCGGGAAGGAGGAAGGCUUUGGGGUGUUAAAGUGUUUUUGUAGGGAAGGAAAACCUUUCUUUUAAUACAGGGGGGUCAUGACGGUACCGAAAAAAAAAGCCCCGGCUAACUACGUG
rnacentral:rRNA from 1 species